GACAGAGGAGGCAAGCGUUGUCCGGACUGACUGGGCGUAAAGCGCGCGCAGGCGGAUGUGGGCGUCGGUGCUGAAAGACCACCGCUUAACGGUGGCUCGCGUGCCGAUACGCCAUAUCUGGAGGGCGGGCGAGGGCGGUGGAAUUGCCGGUGUAGUGGUGAAAUGCGUAGAGAUCAGGAGGAACAUCGGCGGCGAAGGCGGCUUCCUGGACAGACACUGACGCUGAGGCGCGAAAGCCAGGGGAGCAAAC
rnacentral:rRNA from 1 species